rnacentral:rRNA from 1 species
GACGAACGCUGGCGGCGUGCUUAACACAUGCAAGUCGAACGGAAAGGCCCUGCGUUUGUGGGGUGCACGAGUGGCGAACGGGUGAGUAACACGUGAGUAACAUGCACUUGACUUUGGGAUAACUUCAGGAAACUGGGGAUAAUACCGGGUAGGAGCUCCUGCAGCAUGGUGGGGGUUGGAAAGUUUCGGCGGUUGGGGAUGGACUGGCGGCUUAUCAGCUUGUUGGUUGGGUAGUGGCUGACGAAGGUUUUGACGGGUAGCCGGCCUGAGAGGGUGACCGGGCACAUUGGGCCUGCGAUACGGCCCAGAAGGCUACGGGAGGCAGCAGUGGGGAAUAUGGCACAAUGGGCGGAAGCCUGAUGCAGCAACGCCGCGUGCGGGAUGACGGCCUUCGGGUUGUAAACCGCUUUCGCCUGUGACGAAGCGUGAGUGACGGUAAUGGGUAAAGAAGCACCGGCUAACUACGUG